UUAGAUCACAGGAAGCUUUAUGGCUUUUUUAAAAAACAUAGAUUUUACUUUGAAUGGAAUAAACAACCAUUGCAGGGCUUUGAGCAUAGGAUGGGCAUGAUUUGCUUUUGUUUAUUUAGUUUACAGUAGCUGAAUUGAGAUAUCAUUCACAUGCCAUAAAAUUUAUUAUUUUCAGUGCCUACAAUUCAGUGGCUUUUAGUAUAUUCAUAAACAUAUGGAAUGUCACAUGAAUUUCCAUGUCAUGCUUACGCAGGGGCCCGGUUCCUCUUCUCUGUGUGUUCCGGUUUUAUCAGAUGUGCUGCCAAAGCGAGCACCUGAGUUUGACUUGCUCGGCGACCCUCUCGCCGCUGGGUUGAGAAUAGCCAGAAGGAGCCAGGCUGUGGAGGAGCAGGGGACCUGGAGGGUGUGCCUGUGAAUCCAGUGACAAAGGAUGGCGUUUGCAGCUGCGAUGGUUCAGAAUGUUAAAGAAAUCAGACAAGUUCUUCUUUGCUCUCAUGGAUUAUCUAUUCUACACUGGGAAGACAAACCUGAAUAUACACACAAGUGUGCAGGAUGAUCAGCAUGUGACAUCGUGAUAGUGCAGACAGAGUCUCAGCUGGGCAUCGCUUGGCAGCUGUUUUAUGUGGCACAGGGUAGUGAUCCGGAGUAACCACCAUUGCCAACUCUCUAACAAAUUAACAGCGUCUAAAACACAACUGCCCAUGCCUCUGAGUGAGUACAGUGUGAAAAAAGUUUGUCAAUAUUAGUUUGCAAAUCAGAGUUCUAAUGGGAUGUCUAUCCACUUUACAGUCAAGUUAAUAAGAGAGUCAGAGAGAGGAAGAAGAGGAAAACAUGUGAUGGUGGCACCCUGGGGUGAUGCCAGUGGUUAUUUAGCUUGUAACUAAACGUCAUCUGCCCCACUCUUUCACCCAGCUUCUCCUCAUCGGAGGGUGCAGGAGUGGGCACCGCAGCAUACAUACAUGUGUAGUUGACCAUUCCACGUUGCCAUUUCUCCCUGCUGGUGCA